UGGAGCAGUGAUGACCACUGGUGGCAUAUGCAUCGUGGACGAUGCAUAUGUGUCUGGAACUCUGAGGCCCAA
ensembl:snoRNA small nucleolar RNA SNORD113/SNORD114 family